rnacentral:rRNA from 1 species
UACAGAGGUCUCAAGCGUUGUCCGGAUUCAUUGGGCGUAAAGGGUGCGUAGGCGGCGCGGUAAGUCGGGUGUGAAAUCUUGGAGCUUAACUCCGAAACUGCAUUGGAAACUACUUUGCUCGAGGGUUGGAGGGGGGACUGGAAUUCUCGGUGUAGCAGUGAAAUGCGUAGAUAUCGAGAGGAACACCAGUGGCGAAGGCGAGUCCCUGGACAACUCCUGACACUGAGGCACGAAAGCUAGGGGAGCAAACAGG